ACAGGUUGUGAGCCCCAGUUAAAUUCGACUCUGACAGAAGAAGCGUCAUCAGAGGCUGACUGAGAAUGGAUUCGGAGAGCAGACAUGAAAACGAUGAGGACGGAAGUGUUAAGGGAGCAGAUCCAAGGAGUGUUCCGUCCUGUGAUGGCAGCCGUGGGCCUGUGUCUGACGACAGAGCAAAUGCCUCUGAGAAUUUUACGAGCAAAAGAAUUUUUUCAGAAUCAUCCAACUCGGACAGCAUUGCUAUGGAGGAAGACAGAAUUGAACGUGCUUCCAAACGACUGAGAACAGAGGCAGUGGAGUCCGAGACAAGAGAGCAGGGUGCCUGUGGGUUGGGCACUGCAGAAGUUAAUGUCCAUUUGGCUGAAAUGGAAAAGGAGGUCUUUCCAGCAAACCACUCAGAAGAAGGCAGAGCGCUUCCCAAUGUUUCCCCCUCGUCCUGUGAUUUUAGCACGUCCGAUACUCUUCCUCUGAAAGUAGAUGACGUGAAGAAGCCUGCUCAGGAAAUGGUUGCCCUUGAUCCUGAAAGACACACCCCUUUUCCUCCAGAAGAAGUGAGCGUUAGCUGUAGCUUUGGAAGUGUAGAGACAGGACUCAGGUGUGGUGUGUGUGGCUGUUCAUUUUCCUCUUGCUCUGCUUUGGAAAAGCAUGUGGAAUGUCAUGUGGGACAGGGGAAGGACCGUUCCUGCUGCCAUUGUAGCCACAGAGCAGAGAGCAGCUCGUCUCCUCAUGUGCAUGCCAAACAUAGUCAAGGACCACAGAAAGUCUUUUCCUGUGACCUCUGUGGCUUUCACUGUGCUGAAGAAAACCUGUUGGAUGCACAUUAUCUUGGCAAAACACACCUUCGUCGUCA
rnacentral:lncRNA from 1 species